rnacentral:lncRNA from 12 species
ACUAAAUUUGUUCAUUCAUUCAUUCAUUCAUUCAUCCAUCUGUUCACCAUGUAUUCAUUUGAUGGUGUGGUAAUAUAAUGUGUUUGUCUCCAACAUCCCUACAAAUGAUCCCUAGCACUCUGUUUGACUUGAUAACUAUGAUUUAUAGAUGUCCUUCCUGGAAUAUAAUCAACGCCAUGAGCUGCAUCUUCCUCCUAAAUAUAGUUUAGCUUAUGUUUCCUUAAGUGUCUGUACGGCAUACUUAUCCACAUGAUGCUUAUUUACUAUUCGUCCAAUCACUCACGUGGCCCAUGCAACUGGUCUCCAUUACUUUGAAAUUUUAAGUAGCUGUGGCCACACGGUCUCUCUGUGCUGUUCCUUUAUCAUAAUAAGUGUGUAGCACCUUAGGGUCCCCAAUAAACAUGGAAAUAAUAACAGAUUCCAUCCUUGAUAACUACUGACUUCACAAAACUAAUGAGGCAGUUGCUUUUGUACCUCAAUAUAUUCAGUACAAACUGUAAUUAUUUGCUGCUAUGAAAUCUAUCUGCCAAUGACAAUAGGAAACUGGAUGAUUUGGAACACAUGUCCUAGCUGCAUGUCAAGCUGUGAGUUCAGGCAUUUCGAGGUAUGUCUGUAAAGGCAGAUCUACCGGCACAGGAAGUCAGUGUCCCUGGGGCCUCAGGGGAUGUCCUGAUCCUAGUCUCAUUCCCUUUGACUUACUCUCUUCCCUGAGUGAAAGGACUUUCACUUCCCCUUUCUGAUAGAAAUUCUUACCUAAUAGGUCCCUUCCUCCCAGCCUGUGCACUUCAUUAUUCUGCUUUCAGUUUUAAAACCAGUGAGAUGGGGGGUGGUAAGAAAACAUCCCCACUGCAAGAUGGCAUUGGUAGAGCUGUGAUGGUGACAACCAAGAAGUAACAAGAGUGAUGGCAUUUGAAUCAACUCAGGUCAAGAAAUGUCCAAAAUGUCCAGCACGCUUUUUGAUCUUUAGUGGAAGUGUAACGUGUGAAACACGCUCACUGGCUACGGACACCUUGCCCUGCUCUCACUUCCAGUGGAUGGUGCGGAGAAGGUCACCACAUCUCAGUGAGAAAUACAGAACCGGCUGGUGCUUGGAGAAUGGAUGUGUCUUCCUACGAGGCCUUGUGGCUCUCAUGAGAGUACGGCAUUCAAACUUUUGGGUUCCUUUAAAAAAAAAAAAAGUCAUUAUUAAAUCUCUGCCAAGAUUUAAAAAGUGAAGUGGAUGUAGUGACUUCAUGUUUGAAUGAAAGAGGCAGUUCAUUGGGUGGAGUUAAUGAGGGCAGAGGUGACUCAUGGAGUCCUGAGUUGUGCAUAUAAUUACAGCUCAUUUAGAAAUAAGCACGUAUGUACAUGACCUUUAUUCUCCACCAAAGCUGCACAAACGUCCGCUUCCAUGCUGACACAGACAACCAAUGGAAAGAAAUUCAAACAGCAGGAGCCCGACAUCUGAUCACGUUCCAGGAGAUUAGAUGGCGCUGAGCGGAUGAGGCGUUGAGAAAUACCACGCGUACAUUAAUCACACACCUCGAGAGGUCAAGGUGCCCAACUGACGGCGGCUGGUCUCCACCACUGUGCUGGCUUGGGUUGAUAAUAGUUCUCCAGACUGACACUGCAUCUCUGAACUUCCCUAUUCCUGUCACCAGCUUCCAGCUUCUCGCACGUUCAACCCUUUAGAGGAAACUGCCUCUUCCUUCCCUUCAAUAAUCCCUGAUGCUUGGAUUCUUCUUCAUGGUUCGCAGUCCCCUGUCCCCGAGUCGUGUUAGUCUUUGCCCUUAAAAUCUCAUCCUUGGGGCACCUGGGUGGCUCAGGGGUUGAGGUCUGCCUUCAUCUCAGGGUAUGAUCCUGGGGUCCUGGGAUCGAGUCCCACGUCGGGCUCCCUGCAUGGAGCCUGCUUCUCCCUCUGCCUGUGUCUCUGCCUCUCUCUGUGUGUCUCUCAUGAAUAAAUAAAUAAAAUCUUAAAAAAAAAAUCUCA